GUGCCUAUGUUGAAAAAUAUCUACUGGAGAAGUCCAGACUCGUUUAUCAAGAGCAUAAUGAACGGAACUAUCAUGUAUUCUAUUACCUCCUGGCAGGAGCAAGUGAAGAAGAGAGAUUAGCAUUCCAUCUUAAACAACCAGAAGGAUAUCAUUAUCUCAAUCAGAUAACAAAGAAACCCCUCAGACAGAGCUGGGAUGAUUAUUGCUAUGAUUCUGAGCCGG